AUUUGCCUUGAUGUUUUCUCUCCUUUCCUCCUAUCCCUUCUUUCUCUUUGUUUUACACUCUUUGUUGCGGUGAUGAGUUCCUUCCAGAGGAAAAACAAGAAAUCCAGAAAAGGUAGAGUACUUCAAUGUCGCAUCAGUUUUUCUUCUCCAGUUUGACACUUACCAGUUCCCAUGCUCAUUUGAAUUAAGGUUCUGUUUUGCUAGCUGCCUCCUGGAUUGUAAUUCUGGUCCCCAUCUAAGGCCAGGAUCAUCAGACACCUGAAAAAUAAUCACGUUCACCCUGAGAGCAAGGGAAGAGAGACUUUUCUCAGGAUAAAAGGAAAUCCAGACAACCAACACUGCAGAGAACAGAGCCUGAUCCCCUAAGCAACCUGCCGAGAACCAGAGGGACCAAAUGAGGAACCUUACUGCAGUUUAUCAUUUGAAAUGCUUUGUAGGAAGAGGGAGGUGAGCCUGGCAUUUGCUAGGAACCAGAGUGGAACCGGCAAAGUGGCCAGCAACAGAGUCCUGAUCCAAAUGGAGAAAGGGAACCAGGCGUACCUCAACCUGGAGUGGGAAACUUGAUAGGAGUUUGAAUCAGCUUGGGUACUGACAAAUAUUGCUUCAGGAAAUUCUCUUCAGACCCGGAUUGUGAUUCAGGCAGGAGCUGUGCCCAUCUUCAUAGAGUUGCUCAGCUCAGAGUUUGAAGAUGUCCAGGAACAGGCAGUCUGGGCUCUUGGCAACAUUGCUGGAGAUAGUACCAUGUGCAGGGACUAUGUCUUAGACUGCAAUAUCCUUCCCCCUCUUUUGCAGUUAUUUUCAAAGCAAAACCGCCUGACCAUGACCCGGAAUGCAGUAUGGGCUUUGUCUAAUCUCUGUAGAGGGAAAAGUCCACCUCCAGAAUUUGCAAAGGUUUCUCCAUGUCUGAAUGUGCUUUCCUGGUUGCUGUUUGUCAGUGACACUGAUGUACUGGCUGAUGCCUGCUGGGCCCUCUCAUAUCUAUCAGAUGGACCCAAUGAUAAAAUUCAAGCGGUCAUCGAUGCAGGAGUAUGUAGGAGACUUGUGGAACUGCUGAUGCAUAAUGAUUAUAAAGUGGUUUCUCCUGCUUUGCGAGCUGUGGGAAACAUUGUCACAGGGGAUGAUAUUCAGACACAGGUAAUUCUGAAUUGCUCAGCUCUGCAGAGUUUAUUGCAUUUGCUGAGUAGCCCAAAGGAAUCUAUCAAAAAGGAAGCAUGUUGGACGAUAUCUAAUAUUACAGCUGGAAAUAGGGCACAGAUCCAGACUGUGAUAGAUGCCAACAUUUUCCCAGCCCUCAUUAGUAUUUUACAAACUGCUGAAUUUCGGACAAGAAAAGAAGCAGCUUGGGCCAUCACAAAUGCAACUUCUGGAGGAUCAGCUGAACAGAUCAAGUACCUAGUAGAACUGGGUUGUAUCAAGCCGCUCUGUGAUCUCCUCACGGUCAUGGACUCUAAGAUUGUACAGGUUGCCCUAAAUGGCUUGGAAAAUAUCCUGAGGCUUGGAGAACAGGAAGCCAAAAGGAAUGGCACUGGCAUUAACCCUUACUGUGCUUUGAUUGAAGAAGCUUAUGGUCUGGAUAAAAUUGAGUUCUUACAGAGUCAUGAAAACCAGGAGAUCUACCAAAAGGCCUUUGAUCUUAUUGAGCAUUACUUCGGGACCGAAGAUGAAGACAGCAGCAUUGCACCCCAGGUUGACCUUAACCAGCAGCAGUACAUCUUCCAGCAGUGUGAGGCUCCUAUGGAAGGUUUCCAGCUUUGAAGCAAUACUCUGCUUUCACGUUCCUGUGUCAGACCAGGCUACCCAGUCGAGUCCUCUUGUGGAGCCCACAGUCCUCAUGGAGCUAACUUCUCAAAUGUUUUCCAUAAUACUGUUUGCGCUCAUUUGCUUGCCUUGCGCACCUGCUCUCUUACACACAUCUGGAAAACCUCCGGCUCUCUGUGGUGGAAUACCCUUCUAAUAAAAGGGUAACCAGAACGGCCCACUCUCUUUUACGGAAAAAUCCCUAGGCUUUGAAGAUCCGCACUUACGUUAGAGUUAUGGGAAUAUACACAUAUUAAUGUGGCUCCCUUUUUCUUGUGGGGGAAUAAAAGAGGACUCCUCCUCAUUCCCUUUAACAUGGGGGAAAAAACUGACAUUAAAAGAUGAGACUAAAUCUUUAUCUUGAAUUUUACACAACUACUUACGACAAGGGAGAUGUUUAGACCUGUUGUGUAUACUUCAGAGUACUUUUCAUGAGUUCUUCCACAGUGAACCCUUGGAUUACCUGGUGGCUUUUUCUAGCCAGAUUUGCAUUAAUCCUUACUGAGAUUGGAUGGUUUUCUUUCCUCUAUUGGCGCCAUUCUUCAGAUAUUAAAGUUAAACCAUCCACUCCCUCACCUUCAGCCUUCAGUGAAUGUGCUUUCUAGUUGUCAGGAAUGCUGAAGAAUUAACACUUUGACUCCUAAAUGUGAUACUGGUUUGUAGAUUCCCUUAGAGCAGAAAGGAGAGGGGCACAUAUUAAUUUGUAUCGCUUUUGCUUCUCUUUGGUCUUUUGUGUCUUAGAAUUUGGAAGUGGUUCAUUUCUGUUGCUGGUAUGAGGAUUUCGAAUACUUAGUAAUCGAAAACCAUAUCCUGUAAUUUAAUAAAAAAAAACUAAGGAAGAAAAAACCCUCCAAUUUUCCCAAAUGCAAUCAGUGUAACUAGGGGCUGUGUUUCUGCAUUAAAAUAAAUGUUUCAGGCUUUGUGGUCCUGAUCAAGGUCCUCAUUAAAAAAUUGGAGUUCACCCUAGGUGCUUUUCCCCUCUGUGACUGGCAGAUAACACAUACUUUUGAAAGUAACUUUGGGAUUUUUUUCUUAGGUGCAGCUUGAUUCUAAUCUUUUCAUGCUGCACACGAUUCCUUUAAUGUAGCAUCCUUAUCUGAAAGAAAUAACCAUCUUCUCAACAUGACCUGCUUAACCCAAAUAAGAACAGUGAUCUUAUAACCUCAUUGUUUCCUAAUCAUUUUAUUUCAUCUCCUGCUAGUACUGUGCCGCUUCCCCCUCCCCCCACACAAAAUAAAAACAGUAUCUGCCUUCUGGCUCAUUU
rnacentral:sRNA from 1 species